CUGGCAUGCUGCAAGGUCCUGCCAGCUCGGAGGCUGGCACCUGGGCAAUGCCCAGCAGUGGGAGCCGAGAGAUAAGCCUGACACUACCCUGAGCCUCCAUAUGCAGAGAUCAGCAGGGAGAACGCUGGACAAGCCUGGAGCACAGGAGAGAGGGACCAGCGGGGAGCCAGAGAAGCAGGAGUGAUAACAUAAACAUUGAAAUUGAGAAGAGGAAAAACUCUGGAGCUCAGGAACAGUAAAUGCUCUGUGCCCAACAAGUCUUCUGUGCCACACGUCAUUUUCAUACUGAGUGUUUGAUAAACACGGGGACACUUUACAGGCCCAGUGUGUGAUGCAGACCUCAAAGUAUGAACUCAUACCGGAAGUACACUUACAAUUAUGUUGAAAAGGAUAAAAUGAGGAACCA